UGUGGCAGUCACAGUGGCGCCAAAUUGCUUCAUCUAUAUAUAUAUAAAUAGGGUAUUAGUGGUGGAGCACCAUUUUUCAGUUUAUCAAAUGAUGAAUCAACUACACAACAACAACAACUGGGCUGUUCAUGUUAAUGAUGCAGCACCUACUACUACUCCAUCUCAACCUCCACACCUUGCUCUCCCUAUUCACAAGUUGGAAAAAUCUUUGGAAAUGGCUGAAGAAACAUCAAACAGCAAACAGUGGAGAAAAUCAAACCUAUUCUUGGAGAUACCUAGCAGAUCAAUGGAAGUAUCUCGCCAAGAAUUCGUUCAAAUAAAGAUGCCUCCGCCCACACCAACUCCCACCCCCAAGAGAGUCAACUUCCUCCUAACACCUAGUCCUUCUGAUUCAAGGCCAUAUGGAUCACCCGGACCUUCCUCAACACGAGGCAGGUCAUCCAUCCGCAACCUCCUGCCAAAAGGCUUCAAGCAAAGAGCUUCCACUUCAGAGGCAGCCAACAAUGAUUCAAUCUCUUCAACCACAGCCGUUGUUGGUUCACAAGAUAAGCCAUCCAUGUCAAGAUCAUGGUCAUUUUCAAAGAUGUUUACUCCUAGGGCGAAGAAGGCAUGCUCGUUGCCAGUAACCCCUAUAGCCAAUUCAAAUCCGGGCUCUUCUGAUGCUGGAAACGCGCAUGUAAACUGUCCUCCUGCUCCUGAUGAUACAAAAGGAGUUAGGCGCAUGUCGAGGUCACUUUCUGUCCCGGUGAUCAGGAAAGAAAAGGGAACCCGAAAAAUGGAUUCAUUCUUUCGUAUUAUUCCAUCCACACCUAGACUAACCAAGGAUGGCCAACCUCAACUACCAAAUGUCACAAGUGUAGAUGAUGAAAACAGUGAAGCUGAUGGUGAAGAUAUACCUGAAGAGGAAGCUGUUUGUAGGAUUUGCUUGGUUGAAUUAUGUGAAGGUGGAGAGACCCUUAAAAUGGAAUGCAGCUGCAAAGGAGAACUUGCUCUGGCUCAUCAAGAAUGUGCAGUCAAAUGGUUUGCCCUCAAAGGGAACAAGACCUGUGAAGUUUGCAAGCAAGAAGUUAGAAACUUGCCCGUCACACUUCUACGUAUCCAAAGCUGUAUAAAUCGCGCUGCAGCCGCCAAUAGCUAUUCUGAUUUGGAGAUCAACGGGUACAGGGUUUGGCAUGAAGUACCAAUCCUUGUAAUUGUGAGUAUGCUGGCCUACUUCUGUUUUCUUGAGCAGCUUUUGGUUGGCAAAAUGGGUAGCAGUGCAAUCGCCAUAUCGCUUCCAUUUUCUUGUGUACUCGGCCUCCUUGCAUCCAUGACAUCUUCAACUAUGGUGAAGAGAAGAUUCGUUUGGAUAUAUGCAUCAAUGCAGUUCUCUCUUGUGGUUCUCUUCGCUCAUAUUUUCUACAACUUGGUUCAUGUGCAAGCAGUUCUAUCAAUCCUGCUGUCCACAUUUGCUGGAUUUGGUGUUGCUAUGAGUGGUAGUUCGCUCAUCGUUGAGGUGAUGAGGUGGAAAAGAAGACGAGACGCUGCUAGGAAUCAGAACAACGGAGGUGAUGAGAUGAUGCUGCAUCCCAGCCAGCACCCUGGAGGCGAAGCACAGAAUCCAGAAACUUUUAGUGGGAUCUAAGGUUUUGGUUAAGAUUUUAAAUCUAACGAACCACUCCCGCCAAUUGCAACCAGCAGUGAAAUCUGAUGAGAUUAACAGUUCCGACAAACUCACUGAGGCCCCUUCUCUUCUCCUCUAUCUUUCAACGCUCCACACGUACUCUCUCUCCCUCUCUGUAUGUAUAUUUCCACUGUAAAUGACUUUAUCUUUCAAGUUUCUACUAGGGGUUGGCUAGAUGAUCUGUGUUAUGAAUUAAAUGUGCUGCAUAUGUUUGAUAAAAUGCCUAGUAAUUUGUUUUCGCAAAAGGGGUGCCGAGGCUGCAAUUCCUGCAUAGUUUCCCAAGUAGGAUGGCUUGGGAUUUGGAGAUAUGUGACGAGAAAACUGUGGAGCAUUCCACAACGGGCUUAGUGCGGCCGGCAACUGCAGAUUAUGCAGGAGAGGCCAUCCAAGCUCUCAAGGCUGGAAAAGUUAUUGCUGCUCUACGGCUUUGCUUGUGAUGCUUGUGCUAAGGAGGACACAAUUGCAAUCCUUGAGAGAUAUGGUCUUGUAGAAGAAAAUAGCGUCUCAUGACCACAUUCGCAAUUCCUACAUUUGAAUUUGAUGUGUUACUCAAUUUGAUUAUUUUGUAUUGCAUUAUUACUCUUCUCUUUUGGUUUAUCAUGUUUUCUAAUGAAAAUUUGUAUAGAAUCAA